CACUAUCGUUAACUGAAUACAUAGGUUAACGAGGCGAACCGGGGGAACUGAAACAUCUAAGUACCCCGAGGAAAAGAAAUCAACCGAGAUUCCCCCAGUAGCGGCGAGCGAACGGGGAGCAGCCCAGAGUCUGAAUCAGCUUGUGUGUUAGUGGAACGGUCUGGAAAGUCCGACGGUACAGGGUGAUAGUCCCGUACACCAAAAUGCACAGGCUGUGAACUCGAAGAGUAGGGCGGGACACGUGGUAUCCUGUCUGAAUAUGGGGGGACCAUCCUCCAAGGCUAAAUACUCCUGACUGACCGAUAGUGAACCAGUACCGUGAGGGAAAGGCGAAAAGAACCCCGGCGAGGGGAGUGAAAAAGAACCUGAAACCGUGUACGUACAAGCAGUGGGAGCACCUUUAUGGUGUGACUGCGUACCUUUUGUAUAAUGGGUCAGCGACUUAUAUUCUGUAGCAAGGUUAACCGUAUAGGGGAGCCGCAGGGAAACCGAGUCUUAACUGGGCGUUAAGUUGCAGGGUAUAGACCCGAAACCCGGUGAUCUAGCCAUGGGCAGGUUGAAGGUUGGGUAACACUAACUGGAGGACCGAACCGACUAAUGUUGAAAAAUUAGCGGAUGACUUGUGGCUGGGGGUGAAAGGCCAAUCAAACCGGGAGAUAGCUGGUUCUCCCCGAAAGCUAUUUAGGUAGCGCCUCGUGAAUUCAUCUUCGGGGGUAGAGCACUGUUUCGGCUAGGGGGUCAUCCCGACUUACCAACCCGAUGCAAACUACGAAUACCGAAGAAUGUUAUCACGGGAGACACACGGCGGGUGCUAACGUCCGUCGUGAAGAGGGAAACAACCCAGACCGCCAGCUAAGGUCCCAAAGUCAUGGUUAAGUGGGAAACGAUGUGGGAAGGCACAGACAGCCAGGAUGUUGGCUUAGAAGCAGCCAUCAUUUAAAGAAAGCGUAAUAGCUCACUGGUCGAGUCGGCCUGCGCGGAAGAUGUAACGGGGCUAAACCAUGCACCGAAGCUGCGGCAGCGACACUAUGUGUUGUUGGGUAGGGGAGCGUUCUGUAAGCCUGCGAAGGUGACCUGUGAGGGUUGCUGGAGGUAUCAGAAGUGCGAAUGCUGACAUAAGUAACGAUAAAGCGGGUGAAAAGCCCGCUCGCCGGAAGACCAAGGGUUCCUGUCCAACGUUAAUCGGGGCAGGGUGAGUCGACCCCUAAGGCGAGGCCGAAAGGCGUAGUCGAUGGGAAACAGGUUAAUAUUCCUGUACUUGGUGUUACUGCGAAGGGGGGACGGAGAAGGCUAUGUUAGCCGGGCGACGGUUGUCCCGGUUUAAGCAUGUAGGCUGAUUAUCCAGGCAAAUCCGGAUAAUCAAGGCUGAGGUGUGAUGACGAGGCACUACGGUGCUGAAGUAACAAAUGCCCUGCUUCCAGGAAAAGCCUCUAAGCAUCAGGUAACAUCAAAUCGUACCCCAAACCGACACAGGUGGUCAGGUAGAGAAUACCAAGGCGCUUGAGAGAACUCGGGUGAAGGAACUAGGCAAAAUGGUGCCGUAACUUCGGGAGAAGGCACGCUGGUGUGUAGGUGAAGUCCCUGCGGAUGGAGCUGAGACCAGUCGAAGAUACCAGCUGGCUGCAACUGUUUAUUAAAAACACAGCACUGUGCAAACACGAAAGUGGACGUAUACGGUGUGACGCCUGCCCGGUGCCGGAAGGUUAAUUGAUGGGGUUAUCCGUAAGGAGAAGCUCUUGAUCGAAGCCCCGGUAAACGGCGGCCGUAACUAUAACGGUCCUAAGGUAGCGAAAUUCCUUGUCGGGUAAGUUCCGACCUGCACGAAUGGCGUAAUGAUGGCCAGGCUGUCUCCACCCGAGACUCAGUGAAAUUGAACUCGCUGUGAAGAUGCAGUGUACCCGCGGCAAGACGGAAAGACCCCGUGAACCUUUACUAUAGCUUGACACUGAACAUUGAGCCUUGAUGUGUAGGAUAGGUGGGAGGCUUUGAAGCGUGGACGCCAGUCUGCGUGGAGCCAACCUUGAAAUACCACCCUUUAAUGUUUGAUGUUCUAACGUUGGCCCCUUACCGGGGUUGCGGACAGUGUCUGGUGGGUAGUUUGACUGGGGCGGUCUCCUCCCAAAGCGUAACGGAGGAGCACGAAGGUUAGCUAAUCCUGGUCGGACAUCAGGAGGUUAGUGCAAUGGCAUAAGCUAGCUUGACUGCGAGCGUGACGGCGCGAGCAGGUGCGAAAGCAGGUCAUAGUGAUCCGGUGGUUCUGAAUGGAAGGGCCAUCGCUCAACGGAUAAAAGGUACUCCGGGGAUAACAGGCUGAUACCGCCCAAGAGUUCAUAUCGACGGCGGUGUUUGGCACCUCGAUGUCGGCUCAUCACAUCCUGGGGCUGAAGUAGGUCCCAAGGGUAUGGCUGUUCGCCAUUUAAAGUGGUACGCGAGCUGGGUUUAGAACGUCGUGAGACAGUUCGGUCCCUAUCUGCCGUGGGCGCUGGAGAAUUGAGGGGGGCUGCUCCUAGUACGAGAGGACCGGAGUGGACGCAUCACUGGUGUUCGGGUUGUCAUGCCAAUGGCACUGCCCGGUAGCUAAAUGCGGAAGAGAUAAGUGCUGAAAGCAUCUAAGCACGAAACUUGCCCCGAGAUGAGUUCUCCCUGAGACUUUAAGUCUCCUGAAGGAACGUUGAAGACGACGACGUUGAUAGGCCGGGUGUGUAAGCGCAGCGAUGCGUUGAGCUAACCGGUACUAAUGAACCGUGAGGCUUAACCUUACAACGCCGAAG
rnacentral:rRNA from 1 species